rnacentral:rRNA from 1 species
CCCGAUCUCACCUGAUCUCCAGAAGCUAAGCAGGGUCAGGCCUGGUUAGUACUUGGUUGGGAGACC